UACGUAGGGGGCGAGCGUUGUCCGGAUUUAUUGGGCGUAAAGAGCUCGUAGGUGGUUUGGUAAGUCGGAUGUAAAAUCUCCAGGCUCAACCUGGAGGGGUCAUUCGAGACUGCUAUGACUAGAGUUCGGUAGAGGAGUGUGGAAUUCCUGGUGGAGCGGUGAAAUGCGCAGAUAUCAGGAGGAACACCCGUAGCGAAGGCGGCACUCUGGGCCGAUACUGACACUGAGGAGCGAAAGCGUGGGGAGCGAACAGG
rnacentral:rRNA from 1 species